rnacentral:pre_miRNA from 1 species
UAUAUACCCUCUCCGUUCCAAAAUUCUUGUCUUAAAUUUAUCUAAAUAGGAAUGUAUAUCAAGACACGUUUGAGUGCUAGAUAUAUCCAUAUCUAGGCAAAUAAAAAAUAAAAAGUUUGAGACGGAGGGAGUAUAAU